rnacentral:rRNA from 1 species
UACGAGGGGGGCAAAUGUUGUUCGGAAUUACUGGGCGUAAAGGGCGCGUAGGCGGCCCGCUAAGUCGAACGUGAAAUCCCCGAGCUCAACUCGGGAACUGCGUCCGAUACUGGUGGGCUUGAAUCCGGGAGAGGGAUGCGGAAUUCCAGGUGUAGCGGUGAAAUGCGUAGAUAUCUGGAGGAACACCGGUGGCGAAGGCGGCAUCCUGGACCGGCAUUGACGCUGAGGCGCGAAAGCUAGGGGAGCAAACGGG